AGAGUUUGAUCCUGGCUCAGGAUGAACGCUAGCUACAGGCUUAACACAUGCAAGUCGAGGGGCAGCAUGGUCUUAGCUUGCUAAGGCCGAUGGCGACCGGCGCACGGGUGAGUAACACGUAUCCAACCUGCCGUCUACUCUUGGACAGCCUUCUGAAAGGAAGAUUAAUACAAGAUGGCAUCAUGAGUCCGCAUGUUCACAUGAUUAAAGGUAUUCCGGUAGACGAUGGGGAUGCGUUCCAUUAGAUAGUAGGCGGGGUAACGGCCCACCUAGUCUUCGAUGGAUAGGGGUUCUGAGAGGAAGGUCCCCCACAUUGGAACUGAGACACGGUCCAAACUCCUACGGGAGGCAGCAGUGAGGAAUAUUGGUCAAUGGACGAGAGUCUGAACCAGCCAAGUAGCGUGCAGGAUGACGGCCCUAUGGGUUGUAAACUGCUUUUAUAAGGGAAUAAAGUGAGUCUCGUGAGACUUUUUGCAUGUACCUUAUGAAUAAGGACCGGCUAAUUCCGUGCCAGCAGCCGCGGUAAUACGGAAGGUCCGGGCGUUAUCCGGAAUCAUUGGGUUUAAAGGGAGCGUAGGCCGCAUGUCAAGCGUGCUGUGAAAUCCCGGGGCUCAACCCCGGAAGCGCAGCGCGAACUGGCGUGCUUGAGUUGCAUCGAGGCAGGCGGAAUUCGUGGUGUAGCGGUGAAAUGCUUAGAUAUCACGAAGAACCCCGAUUGCGAAGGCAGCCUGCCAGUUGCACACUGACGCUGAUGCUCGAAGGCGCGGGUAUCGAACAGGAUUAGAUACCCUGGUAGUCCGCGCGGUAAACGAUGGAUGCCCGCCGUUGGGAUUUGGAUUUCAGCGGCCAAGCGAAAGCGUUAAGCAUCCCACCUGGGGAGUACGCCGGCAACGGUGAAACUCAAAGGAAUUGACGGGGGCCCGCACAAGCGGAGGAACAUGUGGUUUAA
rnacentral:rRNA from 1 species